rnacentral:rRNA from 1 species
UACGUAGGGUGCAAGCGUUGUCCGGAAUUACUGGGCGUAAAGCGCACGUAGGCGGAUCGUUAAGUCGGGGGUGAAAUCCUGGAGCUCAACUCCAGAACUGCCUUCGAUACUGGCGAUCUUGAGUCCGGAAGAGGUGAGUGGAACUCCUAGUGUAGAGGUGGAAUUCGUAGAUAUUAGGAAGAACACCAGUGGCGAAGGCGGCUCACUGGUCCGGUACUGACGCUGAGGUGCGAAAGCGUGGGGAGCAAACAGG